AGUGUGGUGGCCGAGCGGUUAAGGCAUUGGACUUAAGUUCCAAUGGACAUUAGUCCGCGUGGAUUCAAAUCUCACCUGCACUA
rnacentral:tRNA from 1 species